rnacentral:miRNA from 10 species
GCGGGCUUAUAGGUCCAGAAGA